rnacentral:precursor_RNA from 8 species
AGAACAUGUUCAAAUUAGCGAGUGUAGAAAAGGCAAGAUGUUGGCAUAGCUGUUGUUGCCAAAAAACCAGCUGUACCUACAUAUUGCCAUUUGUCCACUUGCCCAAUCUUUGCAGUUGUCG